GCGUUUUUCAGUUUGUUUGCCCCCUUCACGUCGCUUUAGAAGAUCUUGAAAAUAUUGCGAUGGACUUGCACGUUGUGGGCUAAAGGGAUCAGGUGAAGUAUCAAUUUGCUUCCAUCUCUCCUCAUUCCUUACGAGAUCUUUAGGCAUGUUCAUCUUGGAUAAAGCACGAAAAAACUCUCUUGAUCCAGUAGGAUUAAAAUUUCUUCUGGACCUCAAGGCAUCACUGACCAAAUCAGAUAUGUUGGAAUGGGAAAUUUCUUUACCGUCCAGGCUAACUUGUCCAGAUUCAUCCCAAGAAAUAACGUCAGGUCUUGCUUUCAAUCGAUUUAACAGUGCUGUAGCUCUUGCACGCAUGGUUUUAGGUAUAUGCUCGACCACGUCUGCGUCAGAUAACCUUGCUUGUUCUAUGGGCUCAGGUUCUUGUUCCGUACCAGGCGCUAUCCGAACGGUAGGUAUUUGACCAUCUUUUUGACGUCUCAAACUCAGAUAACUUUCCAUGUUCGCAUUGUACAAUUUCUGUUUUUCAGCAUCGGGCAUACUCGCGCUCUGAAGAAUCUCCGACAUCUCUGUAUCCUGAUGCAUCAUGUUGGACAUAAUAGGGGCAGUCUCAAGCUUUUGCUUCUGCUCAUAUCUGUUAAGCACGUCUUCGGGAACCAGCACCAUUCGUUUUGCAUGCUUCAUUUUACUAACAAGCUACUAAGUACACUUAAUACGGGUGGUAAGAGAGCAGUCAAUAGAUUCCCACCUUUUUGAUUAAGGUGCUUCUUCUUCUGUUUUCUUGACACUUUCUUAUUCGCUAAAGCACGGAGAUGUGUCUUGUAGCGCACCAAUCGUCGCUUUUGACGCGGCGUUAGUGGGAUUACGCCUUUAAGUAGAUUCAGGGAACACUCGCAGAUAGCCGUG